AGUUUGUUAGAAUUUUCGUGUGUCACAAUGGCUAUUGAAGUCACUAUUUAUAGCUAUACCUAGGGAACAAAGUCCUAGGAUCAAGCCCAUCUUAAAUGACCAUAAUGGGGGCCAUUGAUGAAUAUAUAAUGACAGGUUAUGAAUGCCAAAACCCUCUGUAACGGAUUCUGUAUUUAAUACUAAGAAAUAUUCUUCAUUGAAUGUCAUCUGGUGGAAAAUAUUUGUUUGCCCUCGUUAACAAUGUUCCCUUCAGGGUCUGCCCGGUGUCAACCGAAGUUGUUGUCCCCAAUCUUGAUUUUUACUCGCUUCAUCUUUCGUCUGUCUCCGGCUCCACGUGUCAUUCUAUCAUUCAAGUAUUUAAUGUGAACCAAUUUUACCAUAUACAUAUAGUUCCCCUGCUUUCCAGUGGCACAUCUUUGUGUUAUCGGGAAGUUGGUGAAGAUUACUUUCUUGGUGAAAAAUUUUCUAAACCCUUUUGAAUAUGUCUCUCCGCAUUUAAUACCCCAAACAUGUAUUACUCCAUGAUUUAGCAAUAUUUUCGUCGGUUCUUGAGGUAAUCAUGGCCACAAUUUUAGCCGCAUAUUCCUUUACUUAUACGCCUCAUUCUUCUUCUUUUAUACUUCACAGUUCUACAAACUCUCUCAACUUCUUUGCAUUCAACUCUUUUCUGCUUUCACUCUUUUUUAAUCUUCUUCUUUAAAGAACUCUUAUCACCUUUUGUUGAUCAUGACUUCUUCUUCCAAGAACUUAGGUUUUCUCUCUGGUGGGGGUUCGAAGGAGAACAAAGACAAAGAAAUCACUGUUGAUGUUGACCCCCUACGGUGAGCACCAUCAUUCCCAAAAGACUCAACACAACCAAGGACUUCGAAGAGAAGUUCCCUUCUUCAAGUUCUCGCACUUGGGAUGUUGGCAUAUACCCGUCUUCCAUCCGCCUUUCCAGCAUUUCUAUUGUGAACGAGGAUUGUGAUUGUCAUGAUCUGAACAUCAUUGCUCCCGAACUGGUGGAGCGAGUAACCUUCUCUAAGAAGGGCUUCAUGUACGUUUAUACGUACCCAUUUACUUUGGGUGCAUUUUCUUGGGAGUGGGGGAAUUAACCCCAUGAUUUUGGAGUUGUGCUACAAAUACGAGGUUUGCUUGGCACAAGUGGGUCCUUCUGUAUGGCGAACGGUGGCCUGUCUACGGCGGUUGUGCCAGGAGACGAAGGAGGAGCUCACCUGCGCUCGCAUGAUGAAUCUCUACUCCUCCAAGAUUUUCCGUGAGGGAGUCAUAAAUUUUAGCAAACGUGGCCACCAUGCUUUGCUCACCAGCAUGGAUGACGAUAACGACCGUGGAUAGAUGGAGUGAUUUGUCGUUGUUUCCACCAGGGAUAUUAUCCUGGUGAUACAAUCUAGAUAGCCGUCGAGCAAUUUGGAUUCUAAUUAGAGGCAACUUUCAUAACGGGGCGACUAUAUGUACAAUUUCAACAAAUUAAAGACUACAUUACAUUUGGUGGCUAUACUUGUAAUAUUUAGCUCCCUAGUAUAAAUAGCCAUUAAGGCUCUUAUUUUAGACUUAGCUUAUUUCGAUAUUGAGAUUAUGAACUCCUUGAGUAAUUAUUAUGAUGAAUUCCAUUGUUGAUUGGAAACCUUUAAGGUAGCUUUUGUGGGAAUUCUUCCCCUUGAGGGUUAUCCUAUAGUUUAAGGUUGAUUAGGAUUUAAAUUGAAGUAUAUUUAUGUUUGAUUUCAAGUGUUCUUCAAUUUCCCUAAUUAGUUCUUUGUUAAAUUCUAUCUUUCUCAUUUUUAUUUGUGUUCUAGUUAAUUUUUCUUCCGCGUUCGUAUCAUCUUGGUAUCAGAGCAAAGGUUAAAGGAUUUAUUUCUAUAAAUUCUUUGAUUAUUUGCACUAAUUUUCAUAUCCAAAAAAAAAAGAAAGGAAAAAAGAAUCGAUUGAAUCGUAAGCUGUGACUCAAGCAUUCGAAGACUGAUUUGAGAGGAACGAAUUUGAGCUGCAGGGUUAUAGCAAAUCAAAUCAUAGCUGUGAUUCUCUAAAAUCUCAGAUCUAGUGAGAAACUUGCAUACCUGGUUUGAAUUAUUACUACAAAAAAGCACUUGUGCAAGCUGCGGACUUGAUUUGAGUAUUUGGCUCACAAAUUUUCAGAUCUGUGAGUUUGUGCUCUUCAAGUAAAGAGUUGUAUUUUAAAAAAAAAAAAGAAGCUGAAAUUGGUUGCUUUAUGUUGGAGUGGUUGCUGCUAAAUUACGAGUCCAUUUAGAGGAUACCUAUUAAUCUGAUAGCUCAAAACUUGAAUGAGAAAGCUAAAACUUCCAUCAUUGAAGUUCGUUGUUGCGGCGAAACAUUUGUGAAGCUAACUGUUUGUUUAACUCCUUCAUUGGGCCUAAUUUUUGAGUCUAAAAAUGCGAGUCUCUAUUGAUUUGGUUGACUAAAACUUGAAGAAGGAUUGGACAGCCAUUGCAGCUCAAGCGAAGCUUCAAAGUAAAAAACAUAUAUACAUAAAAUCGAGUUUCCGCAAAUGAGAUUUGUCUCAAGUGGGUGUUCUUGCAAAGGAUCGGGUACUAUGUCUUUGAAUAUUUGAGGUACUUCAACUCCAAAGGAGGGAGUCUCUAAUGAGACCAUUUUGGAGGCUUUACAAGCUUUGAUUAUAAAAGUUGACAACAUGGAAUAUAUGGUCAAGUCACAUGACAACCUUCUUAACCAAUGGCAAGGCUUGUCACCUAAUCUUAACCAAGGAGUGGGAACUAGUUCAACACCACAAAUAAGUUCUACUCCUACCGCACCACACAUUGCAAGCCUAAUCAAUCAACCACAAGUUGAUAACAAUCAAGUACGAAGACAAGGUCCACUUUCACAAGGUAGACAAGAAAGAGUUAAGCAUCAACAAUAAUCACUUAGGCCACAACAACCGCAGAAUGACUUUGAUGAUGAUUUAGACUAUGACGAGCAAUAUGAUGAACCGGUUAGACUCCAACCUAGAAGGAAUGGACAAGGAGGCUUUAGAGGGAGAGGUGGAAGGCAUGGUAGGAAUUAUCAAGAUAGAAACUUGAAUGAUGCUUAUGAUUAUAGUUAUGAUGGAAAUGUUGGUAAUGAAGAACAUGGUAGAAGAUGGGAAUAUGAAGAAGACCGGGAUCUUAAUAACAUCAAGACUUCACUUC